AGGGAGAGGGAGAAGGUCUCACCUGGUGGUUUCUCAGGCUGGAGAUGCUCUUUGAUGGUGUGAAGAGUUGAUUUUCAUGGUUCCCUCUGAAGAAUUUUGGCUGGGGGAUGCUGAUGGGGUUUGGGGGGUCAGCAUGUGAUCCCUGGUAUCAGCAGAGAAAAAGCAGGAUGAGGGGAGCAGCUCCUCAUCCCUGCUGGAGGAGGGAUGCUCUGCUCAUCUCCUCCCGAGGAGAGCCACCACAGGGAGGAGGAAUCACACACCUCCAGUGCCAAAUGCCAUCUGACUCAAGGGAAGGAAAAUCACACCUCUUUAUUACACAGAUUUAUCUCGCUGUGGCGGAGCCCCACAACCACCACCAGAUGCUCAUCUUCUCAGUUGCUUUAUUGGAUUCUGGGACAUCCUCGUAAUUGCUGUGAGUGGGAGAUGAUUCCCCAGCAUCUGGCAUGUGUUAAUACUGAUUCAGAGCUCUUGUCAAUCCACUUAGGAGAGCGUGGAUGUGCUCUCUGUGCAGGCAAGAGGCAGCCUGGAAAUUCUAAAGCAUCAUUGGAUCCUAUUUUUCUUGCUUUGAAUUGCUGCUGAAUGACUGAGUCCUUGCCACCAGACCUGCUGCAGGGUGAGCAGUUGGAGGUGGGGAGACGUUGCCCAGAUUUCAUCCCAGUUUCUGACAAUGGGUAGGAAAAUGCUGCCCAGUUUCCCCCAGCCUUCCCCCAGGUUGUCUUGCAGGAGAUUCUGGAACGCUCUCCCAGCUCAAGUUUCUCCUCAGCCCAUGAAAAUCCAUUUAGCACAACAGAAGUCUUCCGAUGAAUUAAAAUUAAUUCUGUUUUAAUGUUUGGUUUAGGUUCAGGAGGUCUCCUGCUCCCUCUGAGGGUGGUGGCAGGUAUCAGUGAGCACAGCUGCUUGGGCACUGCCUGCAGGUCUCUGGGGGCAGAGGAGUCUCAGCAGGUGGGUUUCCCUGCUCAGCUCAGAGUGAAGAAAAAGGAGGAAUAAAUCCAGCUAAAAGCAGAUAUUUCAAGAAUUGCUCCAAAGCUGCUGUUUUCAUUCCAGGAGAAAAAUGCCAUUGGAAGAGCUCAUCCUCCAUGAUUUUAGGAGAAACUCGUGGCUGAGAGUCCUGUGUGCUGCUGUCAGGAGAAGUUUGGAAAAGGGUGGCAGGGGCUGGGCAUGAAGGACAAUGUGGGACACACCCACACAAAGCCACCCUGACAUUCCUGAUGGUGUUCCUUCUGCCGGAGCCGGGAGAACAGACCCACCUCCUGUGUUUUCCAGUAUCAUCAAUAUACUUGAUCCUGAGGUGUCCCUUUGGCAAAGGGGAGUCCCGGGAACCAUUUGCUUCCAAACCUGGACCAGGUCUUUG